UACAGAGGUGGCAAGCGUUGUUCGGAAUUACUGGGCGUAAAGGGCGCGUAGGCGGCCUUCUAAGUCAGACGUGAAAUCCCCCGGCUUAACCUGGGAACUGCGUCUGAUACUGGAGGCUUGAGUAUGGGAGAGGGAUGUAGAAUUCCAGGUGUAGCGGUGAAAUGCGUAGAUAUCUGGAGGAAUACCGGUGGCGAAGGCGGCAUCCUGGACCAUUACUGACGCUGAGGCGCGAAAGCUAGGGGAGCAAACGGGG
rnacentral:rRNA from 1 species